CAGAAGUAGCCUUAUUAGCCAGGGAUAAAAGUAAUCCCCUGCAGUUAUAGUUUAGCAGUGUCCAGAGAAGGGACGUGAACUAUACCAGAGGCAAUGAAAUCCCCUCUUCAAUCAAAGACUGGGCUCAGUCCAGAAAUCUUUUAAGCAUUGGACCUUUAAAGAUUUGCAAGUGAAAUCCAGAGGUUUUGUUCAGUUCUGAGCAGAAUGACUAUAAACCUUCAUCAUCCCAACAAUGGGUCAGAAUGCCUCAGCUGGAGUAAACUGGAGUUGUUCCGUUGACUUCAACAGAGUUAAACCAAUUUAUAUCUGCUGAGAAACUGGAUCAAUAAGUAUGGAAGCCUGUCUGUUUGGACUCAAGUGGUGUGUGAACAAGCCUUGAAUUAUCCAACGCUGAAAUCUGCAGUAGAUCACUGACUGUGAAAAUUGCCUACGACAGAGUAAAAAACUCCCGACGGGUCCAAUUUUGCAAAAAAUGAGUAAAGCUUAAGAAAAAGGGCUUUGCUCAGGUGAAACCACAUGGCUGGAGCUGAGGGAAAGGAAUCUUCUGUCCCAGUGAAUGCUGCAGGACCUGACCAUGUCACCGGACUGGAACUCAAGACAGCAACAUUGUCCCACAACUAACCAGGCGGAGAGAAAAAAAUUAGCUGAUACUUUGCAGCAAACGUUUGAAGUGAAAUUCAAGUAGCAGCCUGAGGCUCACAACUUCAAGUUUUGGUGGGUGUUGGCACAGACAUGGGAAGAGGUUUGUAUAAGUUCCCCCAAUGAAAGUAAGGAAAACACCUUAUCGACUAUAUUCUGAAGGUCAAUAAACUUGGGCCUUGGUGGAUCACCAAAGACAGCAGUCCUUCACUGAAGGCACACAUUUUCUAUGGUCCACAAGACAAAACAUGUGGGGAUUCAACCUCUGAAACAGUGCAUAGGGAAAGAGGCAGUCCCUCAAAUAGUGAAGUCCACACUCAUAUGAGUGUUUGUCAAUUAGGACCAAAAACAUCUUCAGUUUCACCCAGAAGGUGGGAAGGAGAUUAAUGGAACACAGGGCAAAACAGAUAAGCAUGGACUUGAUGGGACUCUCUGUAGAAGUAAGGGGCCACCCAUGUGGAUCCAUUUGUGAGAUCAGGGGCUUAUAUGCAAAUAAGAAUUUGUGAAAUGUUUGCUUGUGUGUCCAUUCAAUGUUUGUUCAUUCUGCUUCAUAUGCAUGUUGUGUCAUAUUAUUUGACUAAAAAGUUUCAAUUAAAAAUACAUUUCUUCUUAAUGCGGCUGGAAUACUGGGAAGUCCUGUAAAUUGCUAUGAAUCCUUUGAAUAGAAUAAACAUGUUGUGCAAAAUC